UACAGAGGUCUCAAGCGUUGUUCGGAUUCAUUGGGCGUAAAGGGUGCGUAGGCGGCGGGGAAAGUCUGAUGUGAAAGUCCUGGGGCUCAACCCUGGGAACUGCAUUGGAUACUUCCUUUGCUAGAGUACUGGAGAGGAAACUGGAAUUUACGGUGUAGCAGUGAAAUGCGUAGAGAUCGUAAGGAAGACCAGUGGCGAAGGCGAGUUUCUGGACAGUUACUGACGCUGAGGCACGAAGGCCAGGGGAGCAAACGGG
rnacentral:rRNA from 1 species